rnacentral:rRNA from 1 species
UACGAAGGGGGCUAGCGUUGCUCGGAAUCACUGGGCGUAAAGGGCGCGUAGGCGGCCGUUCAAGUCGGGGGUGAAAGCCUGUGGCUCAACCACAGAAUUGCCUUCGAUACUGUACGGCUCGAGACCGGAAGAGGUGAGUGGAACUGCGAGUGUAGAGGUGAAAUUCGUAGAUAUUCGCAAGAACACCAGUGGCGAAGGCGGCUCACUGGCCCGAUACUGACGCUGAGGCACGAAAGCGUGGGGAGCAAACAGG